GUGGAGCUUACAAUAUUACUUCACUCAGCAUAAAGAGGAUAUUGCUAUGUCGAGCGAUCUGGGCGUUGUCAGUGCUGUUGCGGCUUCUCCAAUAUUUUGGAAUCCCUUGCUGAGGUGGGAGACGAUUGGAGCAUCCAUGGUUGUAUGAGAAAAAAAAGAACUUUUUACCAUGGUUGUUCUGCAAUUUGGUGGACAUACCAUGUGGCUCCAUUUUAGUACAUUCUCCUUUCCAGAAAAGAUAAAUGAUCAAAAUACCUCUAACACAGUAACACUAGCUAAAACUAUAGAAAGGAGCGGCAAACAUAGUUCCGCCAUCUUCCUAGAGUUACCCUGCCUACUUGCUGCUUGCAUAUCUGUUUCUGUUACUCAUUGAACAGGUGCAGCACCACGUUGAAGUUAAUUUUCCAAUAGCUCCAUAGAGAUCAUCACUUUUUUUUUCUUACAUCUUCCUGGAGGUACACUGCCUACUUGUUGCUUGCAUAUCUGUUUCUGUCACUCAUUGAACAGGUGCAGCACCACGUUGAAGUUAAUUUUCCCAUAGCCCCAUAGAGAUCAUCACUUUUUUCCCCUUCCCUGGCUGCUAAUUUGAAUGUUUAGCCUGACAGCAUCUUUGGACUUUCCUAUUUACCUGCAAGGUUAAAUAUGGCUGGCUCUUUGAUCACAGAUUUGCUUCUUUCCAUGGAUGUUCAUAAACUUCCUCACACUCCACAGCUUCAUAGUUGUUUAGGUUUCGUUCUCCUUUGUAAGGCACUGUGCAACCUACCGAAAUAAGAAUUGCAUUGUCCC